GAUGAACGCUGGCGGCGUGCCUAAUACAUGCAAGUAGAACGCUGAGGGAGGGGCUUGCUCUUCUGGAUGAGUGGCGAACGGGUGAGUAACGCGUGGGUAACCUGCCUGGUAGCGGGGGAUAACUAUUGGAAACUAUAGCUAAUACCGCAUAACAACAGUUAUUGCAUGAUGACUGUUGAAAAGGGGCGACUGCUCCACUACCAGAUGGAGCUGCGUUGUAUUAGGUAGUUGGUGAGGUAACGGAGCACGAAGGCGAGGAUACAUCGCGGCACUGAGAGGGGGAUUGGCCACACUGGGAGGGAGACACGGCCCAGACGCCUACGGGAGGCAGCAGGAGGGAAUCGUCGGCAAUGGACGGAAGUUUGACCGAGCAACGCCGCGGGAGUGAAGAAGGGUGUCGGAUCGUAAAGCUCUGUUGUAAGAGAAGAAAGAGCGUGAGAGUGGAAAGUUCACACUGUGACGGUAUCUGAUCAGAAAGGGACGGCUAACUACGUG
rnacentral:rRNA from 1 species